UCGACAUGAUAAUAAUUUCUGCGAUUCGCCCUUAGAGUUUGAUCCUGGCUCAAAUUGAACGCUGGCGGCGUGCCUAACACAUGCAAGUCGAGCGGCAGCGCGGGAGCAAUCCUGGCGGCGAGCGGCGGACGGGUGAGCAAUGCUUGGGAAUCUGCCUAUCACUGGGGGACAACCCGGGGAAACUCGGGCUACUACCGCAUACGUUCUUCGGAAGAAAGCAGGGGAUCGCAAGACCUUGCGCUGAUAGAUGAGCCCAAGCCGGAUUAGCUAGUUGGUGAGGUAAUGGCUCACCAAGGCGACGAUCCGUGGCUGGUCUGACAGGACGACCAGCCACACCGGAACUGAGACACGGUCCGGACUCCUACGGGAGGCAGCAGUGGGGAAUAUUGGACAAUGGGGGCAACCCUGAUCCAGCGACGCCGCGUGGGUGAAGAAUGCCUGCGGGUUGUAAAGCCCUUUCGUUGGGGAAGAAAAGUUCCGACCUAACACGUGCGGACCGUGACGUUACCCAAAGAAGAAGCACCUGCUAACUCUGUGCCAUCAGCCGCGGUAAUACAGAGGGUGCGAGCGUUAAUCGGAAUUGCUGGGCGUAAAGCGCACGUAGAUGGCUUUGUAAGUCGGGUGUGAAAGCCCCGGGCUCAACCUGGGAACUGUAUUCUAAACUGCAUUGCUUGAGUGUCGGACGAGGGUAGCGUUAUCCCAGGUGUGGCGGUGAAAUGCGUAGAUAUCUGGACGUACAUCAUCGGCACAACGCUGGCUUCCUGGAUCUAACACUGGACGAUCAGGAGCCAAAGCGUGGAGCAGCAACACGAUUAGAUAUCCUCGGUAGUCACGACAUCAACGAUGAUGACUAGUAGCUCGUGAGGCUAGACGUGCUGUGUUUCAACUACGGUUCAGGUUAUGAGCCUGGGGAGUACGCCGCACGUUGAACUCAAAGAAUGGACUGUGAACUCGACAAUCCGAGAAACAGUGGGG
rnacentral:rRNA from 1 species